AAAGAAUUGGGCUUGUUUCGUUUGGAAAGAAGAAAACAGAGGGGACAUGACAGCGGUUUUCAGCUGCUUUUUGAAACAACAAAUCAGCGAAAACACACCAUGUUCCCAAUGAUAUCAGGAAUGGGAAACACAAGAGAAUGACAACGAUUAUAGAUAUCACUGACAGGAGAUCUCAGAAGCAAAUGGUGCAGACAUCAAGGCUCUGACUGUGGACAGCAGCUUCGAGGCAGGAGGAUGCCAGAGUGGAGGACAGAAGAACCUAACCAUUAUCCUUUGGAUUCAGCCAUGUGGAUGCCCUGGAAUCACCUACGCUGCUCAGAAUCUUGUCUGAGCCUGUUUACAAGGCGCCAUGCCCCUCCCCGUUUGAAAACCUGGGCUGCCUCGGAUUCAAGCUUGAUUGAUGAAGAUAAUUUAUUUACACAUAUGCAAGGCUGGGGAAGGUGAGUGGGCCCCUGGCGGGCAGGGACAUAUGUGAACUCCGGUUGUCCCCCUCCCCCGCUCCUUUGGGCUUUGGAACACCCCCCGCGCCAGGCCGGGGACUCCCCCCGCGCCUCCUCCAGCUCCACAAGACAAACCCGACCCCGAGCUCCUGGGGCGCAGGGGACCCGGACCUGUAACCUGUCAGGACAGGACAAGCCGGGGCUCCUGAGCCGGCGCAGUCCCGCUCGCCCUGUGCCCGGCUGGGCAGGAGGGGAAAGCGGAGCCGCUCCCACGGCACUCCCUCCCCAUUAUGCAAAGCAGCGCGGCGAGGUGCGCGGGAGGCUAUAAAAGGGGAGGGGGCACGGCCGGGCGCCCA